UGGAUACAGGUGGUGCGAUGGUUGUCGUCAGCUCGUGUCGUGAGAUGUUGGGUUAAGUCCCGCAACGAGCGCAACCCCUACGUUAGUUGCUAACGCGUGAAGGCGAGCACUCUAGACGAACUGCCGUUGACAAAACGGAGGAAGGUGGGGAUGACGUCAAAUCAUCAUGCCCCUUAUGUUCUGGGCUACACACGUGCUACAAUGGCCGGUACAGACGGACGCAAAGCCGCGAGGCGGAGCAAAUCCGAAAAAGCCGGUCUCAGUUCGGAUUGCAGGCUGCAAUUCGCCUGCAUGAAGUCGGAAUCGCUAGUAAUCGCAGGUCAGCAUACUGCGGUGAAUACGUUCCCGGGCCUU
rnacentral:rRNA from 1 species